AUGCCUCGCUCCCGUCGACGUCGACCCGGAAGCUGUCGCCGGCGGCCGGCCGGCGGUCAGCCUUAACACAGGCCCGGCCGCGGAGCGCGGUCGCCCAGGUUUGCGGCGGCAGCGGGCCGAGGCCAGCGGAGAGGACCUGGAUGAGCCCACUUCAGGUCGGGGCUGAGUGUGGGCGCGCGGUUCCCGGCGGCGUGUGACCCAGUCUCUGCCGGCCGCUGCCCUCUGCGUGUGUAAGUGUCCGUGGGCCCCAGGGCCCUGCACCGCCCGCCCCGAGGCCGCGAAGAGGCCUUCCGCCUGGGGCAGUAUGAAGGCCGCAGAGUUUUCCUCCACAGCCGCACCUCGGCUGGAAGGGGCGAGUUCGAGGGCUCUGUUACUGUUAGCAAUGGGGAGACGCGGAGCUGCCGCCGUCGCUUUGCAGUGCCUGUAGGACUUUGAGGGCCCGGAGCCCCGGUUCCCGGAAGAACACCCAGAUCGCCCCAUAUGAGACACAGUUCAUGCCCCCCUUCCCGAACUCUGAAGUAAAAUCUUGAGGGCUGUCAUCUGGGGAAGCCACCUUGUGCAUUCAGCCAUGAAGACAGAAACAGUACCACCGUUCCAGGAGACUCCCGCUGGAUCCAGCUGUCACCUCAAUAAGCUGUUGAGUAGCCGGAAGCUGAUGGCUGUGGGGGUCUUGCUUGGCUGGCUCCUGGUCAUGCACCUGCUGGUCAAUGUGUGGCUGCUGUGCCUUCUGUCUGCAGUGCUAGUGGUGCUGGGAGGAUGGCUGGGCUCCAGCGUCGCUGGAGCAGCUUCGGGUCGACUGCAUCUGGAACGCUUCAUCCCACUGGCCACCUGUCCUCCAUGCCCUGAGGCAGAAAGGCAGCUGGAACAGGAGAUCAACCGCACCAUCCAGAUGAUUAUUCGAGAUUUUGUGUUAUCCUGGUACCGUUCCGUGAGCCAGGAGCCAGCCUUUGAGGAGGAAAUGGAGGCAGCCAUGAAAGGGUUGGUCCAGGAGCUUCGGAGAAGGAUGAGCAUGAUGGACUGUCGUGCUCUUGCCCAGAGUGUUCUGACGCUCUGCGGUUGUCACCUGCAGAGCUACAUUCAGGCAAAGGAGGCCACUGCAGGGAAGAAGGGUCCAGUUGAGCCUUCCCACCUCUGGGAGGCUUACUGCCGGGCUACUGCCCCACAUCCUGCUGUGCACAGCCCCAGUGCUGAAGUCACCCAUACACGUGGCGUUGUGACUUUGUUGCUUCAAGGGCUGGUGCCCAAGCCCCACUUGGAGACUCGUACCGGACGCCAUGUAGUGGUCGAACUCAUCACAUGCAAUGUAAUCUUACCACUGAUCAGCAGGCUGUCAGAUCCUGACUGGAUCCACCUUGUGCUCGUGGGUAUCUUUUCCAAGGCCAGAGAUCCAGCACCUUGCCCAGCCAGUGCCCCCGAACAGCCCUCAGUGCCCACAUCUCUGCCACUGAUUGCUGAGGUAGAGCAGCUUCCAGAAGGGAGAACUUCUCCAGUAGCAGCCCCAGUAUUUCUAAGUUACAGUGAGCCAGAGGGUCCUGCAGGCCCCUCCCCAGAGGUUGAAGAAGGCCAUGAAGCUGUAGAGGGAGAUUUGAGUGGGAUGUGUGAAGAAAGAAAAGUGGGAAACAACUCAUCUCAUUUCCUACAGCCAAAUCUUCGAGGUCCCCUGUUCUUAUGUGAAGACUCAGAGCUGGAGUCUCCGCUGUCUGAACUGGGCAAAGAAACCAUCAUGCUCAUGACUCCAGGCAACUUUCUCUCUGACAGGAUUCAGGAUGCCCUGUGUGCCUUAGAGGGUUCCCAGGCUCUGGAACCCAAAGAUGGUGAGGCAUCUGAAGGAGCAGAGGCUGAGGAGGGUCCAGGGACAGAAACAGAGACAGGCCUGCCGGUCUCCACACUGAAUUCCUACCCAGAGAUCCAGAUCGACACAGCAGACAAGGAGAUAGAACAAGGAGAUGUUACCACCUCUGUUACAGCUUUGCUGGAAGGGCCAGAAAAGACCUGCCCGUCGCGGCCCUCAUGCUUAGAGAAGGAUCUCACCCGUGAUGUGAGCUCCCUUGAGCCUACUCUGCCACCAGUUCUGCUUUCCUCCUCUCCACCUGGUCCUCUCAGCUCAGCCCCCUUCAGCUUUGAGCCCCUAACCAGUCCAGAUGGCCCAGUUAUCAUCCAGAACCUUCGUAUCACUGGCACCAUUACAGCCCGAGAGCACAGUGGCACUGGAUUCCACCCAUACACACUCUAUACUGUGAAGUACGAGACAGCCCUUGAUGGUGAAAACAGCAGCGGCCUGCAGCAGCUGGCCUACCACACUGUGAAUCGUCGCUAUCGAGAGUUCUUGAAUCUGCAGACCCGACUGGAGGAGAAACCAGAUCUACGAAAGUUCAUCAAAAAUGUGAAAGGUCCUAAAAAGCUCUUUCCAGAUCUUCCAUUUGGAAAUAUGGACAGUGACAGAGUAGAAGCCCGUAAGAGCCUCCUAGAAUCAUUCCUAAAGCAACUCUGUGCCAUUCCGGAGAUCGCUAACAGUGAGGAGGUGCAGGAGUUCCUUGCUCUGAACACAGAUGCUCGUAUUGCCUUUGUCAAGAAACCACUUAUGGUCUCUAGAAUAGACAAGAUGGUGGUGAGUGCCAUUGUGGACACCUUGAAGACAGCGUUUCCUCGCUCUGAACCCCAGAGUCCCACAGAGGAGCUGAGUGAGGCCGAGACUGAAAGCAAGUCCCAGACAGAAGGCAAGAAGGCUGGCAAGUCCAGGCUGAGGUUCUCAUCCAGUAAAAUUUCGCCAGCACUAAGUGUGACUGAAGCACAAGACAAGAUUCUUUAUUGUCUCCAGGAAGGCAAUGUGGAGUCCGAGACCCUAUCCAUGUCUGCGAUGGAAUCUUUUGUUGAAAAACAGACAAAGUUACUGGAAAUGCAGCCAACAAAAGCCCCAGAAAAAGAUCCUGAACAGCCCCCUAAAGGACAUGUGGACAGUUGCUUGUCAGAUGCAGCUGUGCCAGCCCAAGACCCCAGCAACAGCGAUCCAGGAACAGAGACAGAGUUAGCUGACACAGCCCUAGAUCUGCUCCUCUUGCUACUAACAGAACAGUGGAAAUGGCUGUGUACCGAAAACAUGCAGAAGUGUCUUCGUCUUAUCUUUGGGACCCUAGUUCAAAGGUGGCUAGAGGUGCAGGUAGCUCAUUUAACAAGUCCACAGCACUGGGUGCAGUACCUCAGGCUUCUUCAGGAGUCCAUCUGGCCUGGUGGAGUUUUGCCUAAGUUUCCACGGCCUGUAAGGACCCAGGAGCAGAAACUGGCUGCUGAGAAACAGGCUUUGCAGAGCCUCAUGGGAGUCCUCCCAGAUCUCGUAGUAGAAAUUCUUGGGGUGAACAAAUGCCGGGUGAGCUGGGGUCUAGUCUUGGAGUCACUACAACAACCGCUCAUCAACAGGCAUUUGAUUUACUGUCUUGGGGACAUCAUCCUGGAAUUCUUGGAUCUCAGUGCCUCUGUUGAGAAGUCUGCUGCUACCACCUCUGCCUCAGAUACCCCAGGCAACUCUAAGAGGAUGGGUGUCUCCUCUUAGCUGGUUAUUCACGCUUUCUUCCAAGUUCAGGGAAGUAGUUACUCGGCCACCAAAGACCAUUCAGGAAGCCUGUGCCCUCUUGAAAUAGGCUACAGCUAAGAAGGCCUAGGUUCUCAGUGGCUCACUUCCCUCCCACUUCUGCUCCAUUUGUAGCAGGUGACAGGGGUAUGUGUGUCCCAGUUGCAUGCACAUUUAUUUCCAUGUUUCUUUUGGAACACUGGGAUUGUUGCUGGUGAGUAGAUCCUGUUUCCUUUGGGAAAAGAAGCUGUGAGGUAGAGGAAUGAGCCCCUUUUGCUUCUCCUUUUGCCAUCCUCCCUGAGAUUGUUUGCCAGAAUCCUGGCCCUGUGCACACAUGUGCUUAAUCCACCAGCACACAAGCUCUGGAUAGAACAGGAAAAAAACUGUGGCCAGAUUUCCUUGGAGGAGAAAACAACCUUCUGAGCUCUCUGUUCCUAACCGGAAACUAAAAAUUCAUUCAGGGCCAUUCUCACAAACCAGACUCCUGGGUCUAAUCUAGUUUCCCAACAGUUCCAGAAGAAGAAGGAGGGAAGAAAAUUUUUCAAGGAACCUCUUGCUCAUGUGUUGCUGUUUCCCAACACAUCAGCCUUGUGGAAGAUGUCAUGAGGUUGCUUCCCCGGGAGGCUACACUUUUCCUUUCCAGAAGACUCAAAACUGACUGCCAAAGCUUCUGGUAAAUCCACCCCACCCUUUACACCCUUUCCUGAAAGGCAUUUGUACCACACAUUUUAUUUAUUGGCUUUUCUCCCAACCCUCUGCCCUAGAGCAAUUGAGUUUUUGAAUUGAUGACCCUCUCUAUAUCUUCAGCAAAAUUGCAUGACAAGCUGCAUAUCCAGCCUCAGUUUUUCCAAGGAGAAGGUCAGCUGUGUCCUCAGACUGCCUGCCUUCCUGGUGCUGUAGUUUCAGGCAUCACUCCCAGAGAUAACAUUCAUAAAAGAACAGGAGCAUCUCUUCUGUGUUUUCUUCUAAGGAAUAAAGGAACCAUUUCCCAGAAGUCCUUCAAGAGUCCUCUUCUAGGCCGGGCACAGUGGCUCACACCUACAAUCUCAACACUUUGGGAGGCCAAGGAACCCAUUCAGCCAAGCUGUCCUGGCAAGCCGUACCUCCCACCGCUCCGUCCACACCGGCUGUUGGUCCAAUCUAACUUUGCACCGGAGCAAGAUGUGUUUUCCCAAGAUGAGGAGAGGAAGGUUAGCCCACGCUGCUGGAUGUGGAAGGGAAUGGGAACCAAGGAAAGAAUGGUAACUGGGGAGGAAGGGAAACCAUGAUACUUUUGUAGUUGAAGGCCUAACUGGGCGUGCUUUGCCAUAACUUGGCCCCUCUGCCUCCUUUCCACUGGGAGUGCCAGAAAUCGCAGGGCAGCAGUCACUCACCCUGCCUUUGUAGACAAGAAAAUGAAACCAUCAAAGGGUGAAGUUCAGCUAGCCUAUUGCCAUCAGUCUUUUAUGGUAUAAAGGAUGAGAGAGGCCGUGAGGGAGACAUUGCCCCAAACAUGAUGUCCACAUCCUAAGACUUGCCUGAUAUUUCGUAUUACACAAAGACGACAUUGACUGGUUUAAGAGAAAAAAAAAAAAAAGGAAAUCCAGAAGAAUGUGUUAAUUGUCAAGCAUGAAACAAGUGAAAAUCAUCAGAAUCUUUUUCGUUCUGUGACUUGGUGGCAACAGUCUGUAAAGCCAAGGCCACCGUGCAGUGGUAGGGGAAAUUUGGGCACCCGCAGUCACCUUGGCAGACUCAUGAUGCUAUUUUCAGACUUGUGGAGCCUUGCGCUGCCUCCCUGUCACCCUCACCUGUCUCUGGUCUGAAAGUCCAUUUUAACUCUGCUUUCUUGGAGGCAGGAACAAGCAUGUGACAGGCUGCAGAGAAUUACUCCUGGCUUUGAUGUCUCUUCACCAGCUUGACAGAACCUGGUUUCUCCACCUGUCUUUACUCUCUAAGCCUUACCUGCAAGCACUUCCAUGGAAGCCACCAGCACACCAUCUCUGGGAUGCAGAAGGUUAGGAGGGAAGAAUUGAAAAAACAAAACGAAGGUGACAGUAUCAAGAUCCAAACUUAGAAAACAUUUCUUGAAGUGACAUUAUCUGCUCCUUUUAACCCCAUCCCUUUGUCACCAGUCAGUGUUUGUUUAGGAAGUGUAAGCUAAUUUUAAUAUUAAAAUGUUGUAGUGAUUAAGAAGGUAAGUUUGUGAAUAAUGUAUGAAUCAUCCACACUUUUGUCUUUUUUCCCACCUUAUGUUCCGUGCUGCACCCUGUUAUAAGCAGAGUUGACUGUGAUUGCUUCCAGAAACUUUGAUUAAUCCAUGAGAGUAAAGACCUAGCUCGAUAAACACAGAAGUCCCUGAUUGCAGACAAAAGGACUCAAAUAUCAACAGAAGCAAUGAUUUGUUUAUACUGUGUUCAACUGGAUGUGGUGACUUGUGAGCAUAGGUAAUCAGCCCUUUUGCCCGCACCCCUGGGUGAAAAAUCAUUCUACUCCUGUAACUAUCAAAAAGAUUAACCAUGAAUGUUGGUAUGAAAUAUCUGCUUUUCAUGCCUUGACACUAAGGAGACUAGACCUUAUUAAGGGAGGAAAAACACUUUUGGAGUUUACCUCCUUUACACAUGCUGCUUGCAUGGAAUCCAAAUUCAGUGAGCUGUCGGCAGGCCAGUUCCUUGCCACUUUGUAAAGUUUACCCUCUGUUAUCUAUAAAUGCAAGUGGCUUUUUCAAGAAUAGCAAGGGCAGCUUUCAUUAAGGACUCGUGCAUCUCUAGGAGAAUCAUAUGGGCUUGGUUGGCAGUAGAACAUUUUCUUGGGGACAAAAUGUAUUAUAGAUGAUUUAGGCAGGAGGUUAGAUGAGAAAGUUCCACAAAAAUCUAGGGAUUUUUUAUUCUGCCCAAACCACCAUGUUCCUUCCUGCUUUCAUUUUUUUUGUUCAUGCCCUUCCUUCCACGUGGUAGAUUACCUUUUCUCCUCUGGCUGGGCAGGUAGACUACCUCUGCCCAUAAGCACCAGUUCAAGUUCCCUUUUCAAGAAGCACUGUCUGAUUGCACCAGCCAAAACUCUCCCCACUUUCUUUUUAGUUAUUUACACUGCCUCUCUAGUCAAUGUGCAUGUAUAUGAAGUCCUCAGUAAGAGAUUAUAAUUCUUCAAGGGCAACAAACAUAACUUUUAUCUUUUUUAGUCCCAUUAUGUCCUUAUGCCCCCCAACUAUAUGUAGAUACCUAGUGCACGAUAGGUACAAAAUAAAUAUUAAAGUUUACUUAAUUAAAGAUUGUUUAUUUAAGAGGCAAAUUUUGUGAAUAAGUCUGGAUCUUGAUACUGUUCCUUUCAUUUUGUUUAUUCCUUUCUCCCGACCUUCCACAUCCCAAAGAUAGUGUGCUGGUGACUUUUGUGGAAAUGCUUGCAGAACCCAAGAACAAGUUUUCUGGAUCACAUAGGCUCCUCUGCUGCUUCCUCAGAAACAGAGAAGGUACUUGGUGCUGAAGAAAGAGAAAGAGACAGAGACUGGGAAGGAGAAGGAAGUCGGCAGAAAGAAGAAAGAGGCACAAGAAAGAGAGAAGGGGAGCUAAAAGCAAGAGUGCAAAUGUGACCGAGGAACUUGGGUUUUACAUUUAUUGCCUGAGUCUGGUUUUCUUGAGUUUCAGGGUUUUCUGACCUUUGGACUCAGAUUGAAUCAUACCACCAGCUUCUCUGGUUCUCCAGCCUACAGACAAGCUUGUCAUGGGACUCCUCAGCCUUCAGAAUUGUGUGAGCCAAUUCCCAUGGGUAUCCAGCAGCCAGAAGGACUCAUAAAAAUGAUAAUGGAGAGUGACAUCAGCAAAAUGGCACACUGGGGAGUAUCAAGCCUUGUUCCCUGACAGAGACACAACAACAACAACAAAAACCAAGCAAACAAACAAAAAACCAAAAUCAGGAUAAAGUAUUCUUAUAUGAGCUAUGAAAAACCGUCAAAGAUCUAUAGCAGUCAAGAAAAUGCCCAAUCAAAAAUAAGUAAAAUUUAAAAUGGUA